UUGCUUGUUAGCUUUUUCCCUGAAGGGAAUUUCAUUAAAUGGCACCAAAAAGAUGCGUAGCAAAAAAUUACAACUCAAAGGAAGUGACUGCGCGUAUACAAAAACUUACUGCACAACUAAGGAGAAACAAAUCCUGAUUGAACCAACUAAAUAGGUUAAUUUAAGAGAAUAGUUAGGGGUUGAGAUCCCAUCAAACAUCUAUGAUUCCCUUCAUUCCAAAUGCACCAAAAGAUAGCAGCAAGCGCCGUUGACCAAGUUUUUUUGGAUGGACUUCGCAACUCUCCAUGAAUAACAACUCCUAUAAACCUCCUUGAUACUGUUUGGCAUGACCCAGGCAAGUCUAAAAAUUGAUAAAAAUGUACUCCAAAUGUCACUGCUACUGUACAAUGCACAUAUAUCGUAAUUGUUUCAGAAGCUGGAACAGUUAUCAAGAAGGUACAUUUGCUUUCAAAUCCAAACAAUUGAUGAAAAAUCAUCACAUUAGAAGAAAAGGGUUAGACUUGAAAAUUGCCUCUUGUGAUUUUGGAUGUAAAAAUACUUUUUUCAAUAUUAGAGUGAUUGAUUGUCUCCCUAUGACCCCAUAGGUCACGGGCUCGAGCCGUGGAAGCAGCCAAAAAAAUGCUUCCAUUAGGGUAGGUUAUCUACAUAUUUUGACCAUUGUAGACUUUGGGCAAGUAUUUGUGUAUUAAGUGGCCAAUGUGACUUGACACUUAGUCACGUCGAGGGAAAUACUAAACUUAAUUUCACUACUUGAGGUUUUUUGUUGUGUCGCUUGUGAGGCCGAGGCCUAUGCUAAGGGCGAUGUGCCAAUACAAUGCCACAAGUAGAGGUUAUUCGGUGUGUUGCUUGUGAGGACGAGGCCUAUGCCAAGGGUGAUGUGAUAAUACAAGUUGUCAAGUAGAGGUUUAAAAAAAGAAGUCUAUUUAAUUAGUCCAAAUUUGAGCCAACUUGCUCAUUUGACUCUCCUACUCAUGUUUUACUUAAACUAUCUAUCAUAGCUUCUAAAGAUUAAAGUUACUGAAUUGUUUGCUAUGCUGUUGAGCUUCUUUUAUUUUAUUUUGUGUGUCUUGAGGGGUGGGGGUUUUUUUUUGGGGGGGGGGGGGGGGGUUGUUUGAGGACUUAAUUUCAAAAGUUUAGACUAGAGAGAGUAGAAAUCAUUUGUAGAAGGUAAAUAAGAAAACAUUUUGAGAUUCUUCAGCUUGGUUACUCAAGCUUUGGAAUUUAAACUAGUUUGCAAAUGACCUAAAAUAGGAAAUGAUACAUAGUUACAUGAAUCAAAUGUGCUAAUUGAUUUUCUAAAUCUCCUAAUUGAUCCAUAAUUGACUCCGAUUAAAAUCUUUCCAUUUGUCUAAGUCUUGGUGAGCAGAGUUAUUCGGUACUUGUAAUGAUGGGAGGUAGUAGAUACUAGAUGGAUCUAUUUGAAGUGCGUACAAGCUGGUCAAAACUCCAACUUUUUUGUUUUUUAGAAAAAGGCCCUCUAAUCGAUGUUCUUAAUUACAACAACUACAACAACAACCCAGUAUAAUUCCACUUAGUGGGGUCUGGGGAGGGUAGUGUGUACGCAGACNNNNNNNNNNNNNNNNNNNNNNNNNNNNNNNNNNNNNNNNNNNNNNNNNNNNNNNNNNNNNNNNNNNNNNNNNNNNNNNNNNNNNNNNNNNNNNNNNNNNNNNNNNNNNNNNNNNNNNNNNNNNNNNNNNNNNNNNNNNNNNNNNNNNNNNNUCCAAGAACUUCCCACCUUGCUCUUGGGGAGAAUCGAACUCACAACCUCUCGGUUGGAAGUGGGGGUUGCUUACCAUCAGAGCAACCCUUCUUGUCAAUUUACAGAACUUGUACAUUUUCCUCUUGUCAAGUUCUUAAUUGCAGAACUUGUCAAUUUUCCUCUUAUUUUUUUUCCUGAUUGAAGGUAGGAGUACUCACAUCAAGUUUGUGGGUACAUGUCUUAUACUUGUAGCUUGUUGCAAAUGUAUGAAAUCCUGGAACAGUCAUAGACUUUGUUAGGAUAGAUUAUAGAAAUACAUUCUUACUCAAAAUUUUGCUUGAUAAAGUAACCAUCUAUCUUUUUGUGCUUUCUUUCGUAGAAUAUAUGAUUUGUACCAAUAUGUCGUGGGCUAUUUGAUGUCCACAAAUUAGUUUCAUCAAUUUUUUUUUCCUUUCAAAUUUCAAUUCUGGAAGAAGAUGCUUUAACCUUAUAAGGCACUUAGGCACAUGUGUUUGGCUCAUGGCUUGACUAUGCUUCCACACUUGAUCUAGCUGCCAAAUUUUGUUUCUUAAACUUAGAUUCUAGUUAUCUCCAAUUAAGAUAUACGGUGUAUUGUCUAUGUAGGAGACCAUCCCAUGUUUAUACUAGAAUACCCUACAAUUUGUGCAGUUUAAAUACAAAAUUGCCUGCAUCUUCCUGAUACUACGUUGAACAAUGACUACGGCCUAGGGGUACCAACGUAAAUAAACCAACUCGCUUUUAGCACACUAUCUUUUCUCGGUUCUGUUUUAAAAACUUCAAAAUUUACAUAAUUCGAAAACAAAGCACUUAGGAAAUAAAUAAAAAAUGUAGAAAUUCAUAACGUGUGCAACAAUUCAUGAUAAGAUCAUAAAUUGCUCACAAAUCUAGACUAAAGCUGCUUUAAAACCUGGUCAAAAAUAAAUUUGCCUGCAUCUUUAUGGCUUGCACAUGUCUGCUUCAUGUAUAGAAAUUCUGGCUUGCACACGUCUGCUUCAUGUAUAGAAAUUCUGGCUUGCACACGUCUGCUUCAUGUAUAGAAGUUCUGGCUUGCACACGUCUGCUUUACAACAACAACAAAAACAACUACCCAGUAUAGUCCCACAAAGUGGGGUCUGAGGAGGGUAAUAUGUAGACGAGCCUUNNNNNNNNNNNNNNNNNNNNNNNNNNNNNNNNNNNNNNNNNNNNNNNNNNNNNNNNNNNNNNNNNNNNNNNNNNNNNNNNNNNNNNNNNNAAUAUGUAGACGAGCCUUACCCAUACCCGAAAGGGCAGAGAGGCUGUUUCCAAUCGACCCUCGGCUCAGUGAAGGAAAUCAAAACAAAAACAAAAAUUCUGGCUUUAUGUAUAGAAAUUCUGGCUUGCACAAGUCUGCUUCAUGUAUAGAAAUUCCGUGUAGUUCAAACUACAUCUCAGUGAGAGAAUGAACUAGUAAACUUCAUCAAAAGGAACUUGUUGACCUUGAUUAUCGGAUAAGCAUUUCCGUUUUCACCUUUUCUACUAGCAAAGCAUACAAGUUUUUACUUCAUUUUGCACCUACUUGCAUAGUUGGCUAGACUUUUGGGACGCUUGAGAUAUAGUGAUAAUAUAUGUGUUCUACUGCUUACGCCAGCUUGUUGUAUUAUUAAUAGUUUAUUUUGACCCAUCCCGGAAACAAAUGGGUUUACUUCAAAAGGCUGCUGGGCAACACCCCGUUUGCAGGUAAAAGUGUUUUAUUGUAUUUAUUUUUUAGCAUUAAGACAAUUUAUCAUUGAUUGCUCUGCACAUAAAUUUUGGAUUGAGGCUUCCGUGAUUGAUUGUUUCGACCAAAAUUUAGAACUGAAUAUGUAUAGAUGCUUUUGUAAUUCGUUUCUUCUGAUUUUAUUUAUUUUCUGGAAGUACUUCGCUAUCCUUCCUGUCUUUAUCCAACUUCCAGCAUUAAAUGUUUUUCAGGAAGAGGAGUGCUUAAGUUCUCAAGGAAAUCAUACUAGUGAAAUGCAUGCUAGCACUGUAGAAGAAAUCCAGCAGGUAUCCAUCUUAUAUCAAGCAGAUUGUCCUUGAGUGCUUUUAUUCAAUAGAUUUAUUUGACAUAUGAAUUACUUGUUGCAGGUGGUACAGGGGGAAAACUUGUCUGAAUUGCCUGCUGAAGCAGAAGAGGUCACACCUGAGGCGGAAGGUGAUAAUAAUUUGAAGGAUAUGAAUUUCAAGGAGCAACAGUCUGUUCCCCGACGGUCAUAUCAGAAUCAGAACUACAGGGGUCAUCACAAUGGGGAUGGAGGAGGCCGUCGUGGAUAUUCUAAUGGUCGUGGAGGGCAUGGCAGGGGAGGGUCCUACCAGAAUGGCCGCAACCAAUAUUAUGAUCAAUCUGGUAAUUACUACCAGAAGAGCCAUAAUAACAAUUAUAGGGGAAGAGGUGGAAGGGGUACUGUUGGUGGGAAUUACAACCCUCAUGCUUCAGGUGGUCAAGCUGCUAAUUUCUCUGUUGGUGCAUAACCUUGUUUGGUUGAUUACCGAAUUUCCCUGGUAGCGUCUCGUUGGGGGGUAGGGGGGUGCGGUUUUGGUGGUCAGUCUGUUAUCUUGUUUAAUGCAACAUAUAUAUCUCUUAGUUGAAGAAUAGUUGGAGCAGCUUCAACUUCGCUAAUUGAAGAUGAGUUUUGGUUAUCAAUUGUCUUAGACCCUAGUCUGGUCUUUACUAGUUUGUUUCCUGUGGCCAUGGAUAGUUUAGGUUAAGUGGAUUAGUUUUUACUAGUCCAUUCAAAUAAUAAAACAUAGUAUCUUAGUUUCGGUGGAAUACAUCGACAACCUCUUAACAACAACAACCCAGUGUAAUCCAACUUAGUGGGGUCUGGGGAGGGUAGUGUGUACGCAGACUUACCCCUACCUUAGGGUAGAGAGGUUGUUUCCAAGUAGACCUCCGGCAUCCUUCCCUCCAAGAACUUUCCGCGUUGCUCUUGGGGAGACUCGAACUCACAACCUCUCGAUUCGCAGUGGGGGUUGCUUACCAUCAGAGCAAUCCUUUUGCAAUUGACAACCUCUUAACUUGAUAGAAUAUUUCCUUGAGACACUCGAACUAAGGGCUAUUCCUGUUGAGUACCUGAAUACAUGAUAAAAUGUUCCUUGGGAAAUGUUGGAAAUGACUCUUGAUUUAACGACGGGAGUUUGUUUUCAGUUGUUUGGGUUCCUUCUAACUAAUAUGUCUUGUUUUUGUUUGUUAUAGCAAAGGCUUAUAUGUGAUGUAUAUCAUCAAAGGAGGUGUCAUAUUUUAGGGGGUUCAGUUAUUCACGUAAUGGGUGCUUGAGAACACGCAUUGAAGCUUUUCCAAAGCAUGAAGUGAAAGUGUAUAAUAGGAAUACUUUGUCAUGUGUUCAGGUGCUCAAUGGUGAUAUGCCUUAAUUUGAGUGUCUAAAUGAAAUAUAUUGACAAGUUUAACCAAUGGAUAACCAAUGGGAUUAACUUUUACAUUUGUAAAGCUUUAGGAAGACUAAGAAUUCUUCCAUUAUGAUUAUCCAUAUUAUAUGCUGGUUAACCCUUUUUUUAUCCGUAUUAAAUAUGGAUUGGAUCAGAUAAUUUUUUCGUUUUUUCAUUAUCCGUUUUUAAUCCAAACCAUAUCCACCAAAUCCGUCCGUUUGACACUCCUAGUCUCCUAAUAUAAUUUUUUCCGUUCUUGCUAAAUUUCAACCAUCCUUUGAUUUGUAAAGCAAGUAACCAAUCUGCACGGACAACAUAAUCGGCAACAUAUAUGUGCAUGGCUCUAUUAAAAGCAUAUCAUUAUCCUAUUGGCAGAAGCAAUGCCCUUAUCCUGUUUGGUAGAAUUUGACUUGUUUUUCUCCUUUGGCCAAGAUAUAAUUGAAACUAUCUAGGACCCGUUUGGACAUAGAUUCCUAAAUAUUUUUUGAAAAAGUUGAUUUGGAUAAAGUUUGAUUUGAAAGUGAAAUGUGUUUCGACAUAAAUUUUGGGGCGAGUUUUGUCAUAGUAAAAGUUCCCUUUUCCCCAGCUAAAGAGUCUCAAAUGGUCGUGAUUAGGACAAAAAAGAGGUUUUAAGCUAUAUUUAGGAUUUGAAGUUUUGGUAUUCAAAAUCUCCCAAAAACAAAAUUAAUUCAAUGAACAAGCACAAUUACAAUUUUAUUUUGAAAAAACCUUCCAAAACUUAUGGACAAACGCCCACCUAAUUUGAACUAGUUAAGGUGGCAGUAAUUUGGUAGAAAUUUGAAAAAAUUACAAAAGGAUAAAAUAGAACUACAAAGUGAAUUUUUUUACCUCAUUCGGUCCACUUUAGUGGACUUUUUGAAUUUUUUCAUACAUAUUAAGAAAUUCAUCUUUUAGUAUUAAUUAAUAAUAAAAUGAAUCACAUUAACCUUAAUUUAUUAUUGAAAAUAUAACAAAUACUUCUCUUGAUGCAUACACAGGAAAUACACCAAAACAGGUUUGACCAAAGAGUUUAUGUUGUUGUGAGAUAAGUUUUUCUCUGAGGUCUGAGAUUAUAUUAGUGUUAGUGUAGCAACAUAUGGUAGGAGGGUGUUAAACCAAAAAAUUUAAUUCCUGCAUACAACACCACAAAAGAUGACUUUGAACCGUACUGUGAAAUUUGGAUAGGGCUAGAAAGAAGAGGUACUUGAAGGCUCAUAACAAAUCAAUUUUGGGUUUAAACUUUACAACCUUCGGACCUAAGAUUUAUUUAUUGAGGAUUUUUUGAUUUUUUGUUACACUAUGACCGAGCCGUACAUAUCCUCUUUGAGGGAUCAGGUCGAACGUAGUUCACAAAUCAUUUUUUUUCUUAAUGACUUUUUCUUCUUCUUUUUUGUUUUGUUGUUUUCUCUUUUUUCCUUCUUUUCUCUUUUCUUAUCUUUCAUGUUCGUGUUUUUAAUAUUUGCAACUAAUUCCGAAAGAGGGGUAUGAAAGAAAAAUAAAUAAGGCUCAAAGGAUUGACGAAGGAUAAAGUGUUUAGAUAGCAGAACAAAAUGCCUUCGUCAUUCCAAUCUUCAAAACAUGCCAAGUGCAAACAACAUAUUUAAACACUAGCCAUGUCUUCUGAUUUUUCCCGACUUGGUAACCAUAUCCACACAUUCGUCCUCUCAUUUGUCAUUUUAAAGCACCAUUGGGCAACACUCUCAUUUUUAUUACCACGAACGACCCCUAUGUCGAUUUGGCCAGCCUGCCUUUACAGUUUUCUUUAUGUCUUACUUGCCCCAGUUUCACUUGCCCCAGUUUCACAUGACCCUCGCUCCAAAUAAUCUCAAACCGUUAUUAUUUUCUUUUAGCGUCCCAAUCACCUCUCAAUGUCUUUGAUUAGCUAUUAAGAUUAGGCCCAAACUGUGUACGCAUGUCAUGUCACUAGAAUCGGCGUUUGAACAAAACAAAAUAAAAGGGUUAAAGAACUAGACAAAGAAGAUGGCUGGAAAUAAAAAAAAAUAGAAUUUGCAUCAGACAAACGGUGAAACUGUUUAAACAACAAAAUAAGCAGUUACAACCCUAAAACAAACCUGGACAACUUUAAACAAACCGCUCUGACUAAACAAACUAGACGAAAUGAAAGGACAAGAGGGUUUGACCACAAGAAUUUAUCCGAAUUACAACCCUGAAUAAAUCGAACAACAGAAAUGACAGCAAAAUAAGCCACCAAAUGCUCUUCUCCAGAUGACCCAAAAAAAUGGAGCGUUUUUCCAUACCAAGCACGACCUUUUAGCUACUGAGUGUUGCAUCAUCCUUGCCAAUACCACUAUCCAUUUCAACAUCUGGAGCUUUAGUCAAUAGGUUCCUAAGAGGAUCCGCGUGCCCCCUGUCAAUGUCAUUGAUCACAAUCCGCCCUUCUCGAAUCAUUCUUUCUACAUCCCUUUUCAAAUCAUGACAGUUCUCAAUGGUGUAGCCUCUAACAUUGAAGUGGUAUGCACAUCGUGCAGUAGGAUCAAAGCUCAUUGCGCAUGGAUUCGGAGUGCAUAUGGGGAGCGGCUCAAUCUAGCCAGCACGCUUUAGCCUUUCAAAGAGACUUGUAUAAGAUUCUCCGAUAGGGGUGAUAGCCUUUGCUCGUUUCAGCAGUCUCUCCCUCCUAAAUGCCUCAUUUGGCCUGAAACCUGACCCAGGGGGUUUGCGGUGUAGAUAGACUUUUUGUGGUGCUGGGUACCUGGAAAGUGAAGUACGAUUUUGGGGGUCCCGGGGAGAGUAGUGGUGUUGGGGAGGGGAGUAGUGUUGGGAAAACAUAGCUGGAGGACGAGCGAUGGAGCAACUCGAGCGGCUGGGAAAGCUGGGAUAGGCGGGUAUAUAUGGAGUGUGGGGGGAUCAUCUGGCAUUGUGCUUGGUAAGGAUAGAUUCCAGGAAGUUAGGUGGUGGCGAGGGUGGUGUUUUCCCAACCAUCCACGCCCGAUACAUGGCUCCCACAUGUUGUCUCAGCAUUUUUACUUCUUCUUCCAACCUGUGGUUCCGUUCAACCAAUUGUCUUUGGCCAUCGGUACCGACCCACUCAGUUAUGAGGUUUUGUGUCAUUGUCUUUUUACUUUGCUUUGCAGGGAAGAGUUACCACAACCAACCACCUCAACUUUUUUGCAGUUCAAAACAAAUCAUGUUAGAAUGGAUUGAGUCGUUCCUCAUUAUUAACAAUAUUUUUUUCAUUUUUCAUAAAAAAACAUUGUUGGUGUCGAAUCCUAUAUGGAUUGCCUUCGUAUCGUGACCCCCCGCACGAAUCAUAACAGGCGUAGUUCGGGCUAAUAAAAGGUAAACAACAAUUAAACAUUUUUUGGAAUAUUCAAUUUUUCACAGCAAAACACACUUUGAUUAUAAUGAUUAAACAAAUGACAAACUUAGACCGAGCUAACAAACUCUGGUGAAAGACGAGAUACAGAGUUAAACAUUAAACAACCCACAUACUAUAAUCAAAUGAAAUACAAAUUUUAAAAAAGACUGACGGAUUUCUUCCCCUAUAUGCCAAUUUUAACCAAAUGGCUAUUUUUUUUGCAAACGUGGCCCCUUCUCAAUUUCACAUGAAUUUUGAGGAUGGGAAGGAUUAUUUUACAAACUUGUCCGUUCUUUUACGAAAAUAGCCUUUCGAUCACUGAAAAAUACUCUAAGUCUAUCUCGGCAAGAACGGUUCAACACACUACCGAAGUUGACUCGGCUUAUUUUGACUAAAAUCCAAACGGCAUUCACUUGCCCACUGACUCUUUUUUUUAUUUAUUUUUCAAAUUAAAAUAAAAUACAUGGUAUUACAAAUGAGGCCUUUCAAUGCCUCGAGGACGAAGACUUUAAGGCUCUGUGAGUCAACCGGUCAAAAAUCUAAAAAUAACCAAAGUGACUAUUUAUGCGAAGUCAGCCUUCUGGAGUCCCUUUCGAAAACAUUCAGCUAUUUUUGACAAAAACAGCAUCGCCCGAAUUAUUUACGACCCUUUUCUUCUUUUUUUUUUGAAAAAUAGAAAAUCAGAUAUUUGCAAACACAGCCUUUCAGCGCCUCGGGGACGAAGAUUCUAAGGUUGCAUUAACUAACCGGCUAAAAUCCUAUAAAUGACCAAAGGUGGUCAUUUAUGUAAAGUCAGCCUUCCGACGUCCUUUUCGGGAACAUUCGGCUAUUUUUGACGUAAACAGCAUCACCUCACUUCCUUAUGACAAAAAUUAAAAUUUUAAUAUUUUUUGGCUAUUUUAGCAAGAGGGGAGGUUGGACCCGAUGAGGGUUACCUACGUAUCUCACGCCCUGUGAGAAUCAAACCAGAGUAGUUCUCCAAAUAACCAACUAAAAUUUUAAACAAAACUCUUUUUCAAUUUCUCUAUUUUUCUUUGGCUUUUAGUAAAACAAACUACAUAUAUAAAAAAUAUUUUCUUUUAUUUUCUUUCAUUUUUUCAAAAUUUCGGCAGAGUUAUAACAAUAUUGGACAUUGAGUUUUUCUUAAAAUAAUCAACUAAAUCUCAUUGCUAUUUUUCUUUUCUCCGUUUUUUCUUUUUGUUUAAUUUUCUAACAUUCCCAAAAUUCAGAAGCCGGUCAACAUGCAAGACCUGAGCAAAUAAAUGUACAGAAAACAAGUAGGAUGCAUCAGGAUGGUCUUUUCAUUUCAGGUUGCUAGCCCUAGAUGGACCCAACCCUUGUGUUGAGUCCCCUAAGUCAAAAUGCACAUGAUGCAAAUAAGUGUUCCUACUAGGGAUCCAGCAUGAGGCUGAGUUAUUCUAGGUUCAAAACCUGGGUGUUUGUUUUAGACCUGGCUUACCCAAGCGGACAGCUCGAGCCAAGGAGGAGGCGGCAAUCCGGGAAUGCAGAAUCUUCGCCGGCUUUGCGACCUAUCCAAACCUCGUUCUAAGUUGGGAUUUGACACUAUACAGAAAAGAAGUCAUACGACGUACACCCUUCUUCAUGAUUCAGAAGACUCAGAGAGGAGAUAAGUUUCGGCACAGUUUAUAUACAGUUCACAUAAUAUCAAAGCGGUAAAAGCAUUCAACUAGCACAUUAGGCACAUAUCAUGUAACAAAAUCAGAUAAAGCCAAACACAAUAAUUAUUCUAAGCUCGAAUUCUGAACCCUGAACCAGAGAUUCUGGGUUCGUUCCCCAGCAGAGNNNNNNNNNNNNNNNNNNNNNNNNNNNNNNNNNNNNNNNNNNNNNNNNNNNNNNNNNNNNNNNNNNNNNNNNNNNNNNNNNUUCUGGGUUCGUUCCCCAGCAGAGUCGCCAGAGCUGUCACCCCUCCUUCUUCCGUGUACACCUCCCCCCCCCCAAAGGGGCGUAAAGGAGUUUUUCCACUUAAAGGACAAUCCGAACGAGAUUUAAUUUUAUUUAUUCAGAGUCGCAACUUCGGAGAUUAAUGGUGUCCCAAGUCACCAAUUGAAUCCCGAACCGAGGAAAAAUAUGACUAUGUUCACAGUCUGCGAAGCAGAAAUCCGGAUAAGGAUUUCUGUUAACCCGGGAGAAGGUGUUAGGCAUUCUCGAGUUUCAUGGUUAUAGCACAAUCUCUCAACUGUUGCAUUUAGCUUUUAUCCGAUUUUAUUACAUGAAGAGCCUAUGUGCCAAUUUUAUACUUAACCGCUUUUAUUUAAUAUAUAUUUAUUUGAGAAAGUGAACAUCGUUUAAAGUGUGCUUUCAAAUUGCGCCGCCGGAGCCCGCAAUCCUAGGCAAACUCUAUCCAAUGUAUUAGGAAUUGGAUUUGGGCACAUAAAAUGCCCACCCGUAUUUAGGAAUAUAAUUUGUUAAAGCCGCGCCUAAUAGAGUCUAGCACGUUGUAAUCUUUUGGGAGGGUCGUGAAAUUCGCUAAACGACCCUUCCCAAUUUUUUAAAAUAUUUUUAAACAUUUACUGAGGGCCCGCAUUUUACGUAUUUUAAUUUGGCGAGGCAUGCCUCACUUUGAUUUUUCACAUAUUUUUAAACCUUUACCGAGGACCUCGCAAUUUAUGUGUUUUAAUCGGCGAGGCUCGUCUCCACUAAUUAACUUUGAAAAAUUUAAAGCAUUUUAGUUCCUACUUCAUUUAGAGAAAAACAAAUCAGAAUCCCAAAUCCCAAUAUCAAAUAAACAUACAUCAAUAUUUUUAUUCAAUUAAAAAUAAAUAAAAUGUCCACACUAAUCCUUUGUUAAACAAUAUAAACUAAAAGCGCACUAUCAGAUCCAAACAACGAUUCUAAAUCAUGUUUGCUUAAUAUUUCAUCAAAACAUAUUUACUAUAUAAAAAUUCUUCGUUCCUUAAGAGCUCAAAUUCCAUAACCCAUCAAAGUUAAAAACAACAACUAAGAAUCUAAGAUUAUCUUUUGCAAUUCCAAAUCUAUUACUGCCGACAAACUUAUGCCUUAAAAUUAUUAAUUCAUUAUAGUAUUUACGAGUCCAGAAAAAGAAAUUAAACUAGUUAUUCAUGCUCGUAAAAAAUAAUAUUAAGCUUUCUAUGUAGAGAUAUAAACUAAUUUUAGGCAUUUAACUAUAAAAAAUAGAAGUUCAUAUCUCUUCUUCUCUAGAUUCAGCAAACAAAGCAAACAUCCAACAUUCAUUUUUGGGAGAUUUAAGCUACAAAAUAGUUAAAAGCUUUCAACUAGACCAAUAAAAUAAAAUAUCGAUUAUAUCACUAGAAAUAAAUAGAGAAAAAGGACCUUUGAAUAGAUAGAUCUCAACUCAAAUUACAGCAGCUUAUCGAUUCCGGAUCGAAACUUUCGCCGGAAGUCAACGGACCUCGUUUUCCACAGCACCACGACCUUCGACGACCUCGACGGACCUUCAAACUUGAACGUUACAGGUGAUUUUAGGACAGGUUGGGGGCUGUUGGUGGUCGUAUGGAUGAUGAAGAAAAAGCAUGGAGAGGGUUUUGUUACUCACUGUCCAUGUAUAUAGAAUGUAUCUCUAGUGUAUAUAGUAUAUACCCCCGUCUCCUUAAGAAGAAGUCACCCCCUUUUUUCGUUUUCUCUCUGUUUUUUUCUUCAAACUCUUUCCUUUUUACCCUCCCCCCCCAUCAUCUGGCAUUGUGCUUGGUAAGCCCAAAAUCUCCUCCUCCUCUCAAAGUGCUUUCCACUUUUCUUUUACACUCCUAUAAAGAAACCAUUAAGGGAGAUGGAUAUAGUUUUCUUGGUAAAGUGGGGGUCCGAACUUAUCUUCUUUUUCAGUGUAUAUUAGUUGUAUAUCGUAUGUAUUUCGAGUGUAUUUUUGUGUCUUAUUUUCAGCUUGUUUUUUCUUUUUAGCCCUCUUCUCUUUAUCCACUCUCUAAUAUCUAAAUAAGCAUCAAAUUAGUGCAUUUUCCAUUAAAAAUUAUACUUUUAACUAGCUAGUGUUAUUAUUUAAUUUUCAUUAGUGUUAGCUUUACCCUACCAAUAUAGAAGCUUCCUAAGUUAGGUAAAUACCUUAUUUUUUAUUUUUACUUUUUAAAAAUAAAACCUAAAUUACUUUUUAUCCCCAAAUUAUCCUAGAAAAGUAAAUUAAUUAACUCCAAUAAUUAUUACAACUAGAAACCAAAUAAAUUGCCAAAAUUCGAAAUUGAUGAGUAAAAUACAACAUGACUAAUUUUUUAUGAUUUUUCUAUUUAUUUUCAAAUAACAACUUUCUUAGUUAAUCUAAUAAUAUAAAAUAAAAUCAUAAAUGCAGAUGAAUAUGUUUUUUAUAUUUUUAUGAUUUGAAAUAAAUGUCAAAGCUAAUCCUAAUUAAUUAAACUAAAUAUGAAACUAUUUUUGUAUUUUUUUAAUUUUAUGAAAAAUACAUAAACUAAAAUAUGUUUUGUAAUUUUCAUUUUUCUUGUAAUAAAAUAAAAUAAAAGAGUCAAAAUGAUGUGAAAUAGCUAUAUUAGAUCUAAAUUAAAUAUUUACGAUAAAAUGUGAAAAUUCUUGGAGAGGGUCAAAAAUCACAUGUCUACAUGUGGUAUCAGCCUCUCCACCCACGACCUGAUGUCGUCCCCACAGGAAAGGGACGAAGAAUCUACAGGCAUACGAUCCGCCACUACAAACAACAGACAAAAGAUCCAUAAGAGGUUAAGCCGUCAUAAUGAAAAGCACUGAAGAGAGCACAAAUGGAUACUUACACCCCGGGUUCCACACCUCCGGAAACCCUUCGGGGUUAACCACCAAAUGCUCCGUCCGGACAUAGAAGAAUCUCUUCCAAUAGCCGCGAUUGGCCUUAUCAUCGGACUGUACCACAAAGCUCUUCUUGCCGCGGCGCGUCAGAUGCAACAUUGAAUCAGGUAACUUGCAUUGAACAUUUGCAAAAGAUGAUAUAUCGUGACCGCACACUCGGCUUUUUCUGCGUGUGUGGUAACUGUACCACGAAGCGCUUCUUGCCGAGUAGCGUUAACUGCAACAUUGAACCCCUUAGGUAACUUGCAUUGAACAUUUGCAAAAGAUGAUAUAUCGUGACCGCACACCCGGCUUUUUCCGUGUAUGUAGUAAGUACCAUACACACCUUCAAAGUGUAAGGGGUGAGUUGAGCCUGGCACGCUCUAAAAAAAAAAGAAACGGCAAAGUUCCUCUGCUAAAGGGUUGAGCGGGAAACUGUAUCCAAUUCGGAAUGCAUACUCAUAGAACGUAUAGAACCCGAGCCUAUGCAUAUUGGCGUAGUUCCUUCCGGCAGGAACUAUCUCAAUAUGAUCCGGGAACCCGUACGACAUCCUUAGGGCAUCCAAGUGAGAUGGCGUCAAUUUGAUGUGUCCCUAGGGCGGAGGUGAGCUUUUGUGACUAAAGUCAUUUCUUUUACUCAUGUUCUUCGGAAGAACGUUAGCCACAGAUAGAGGAACAAGGGCCUCUCCAACCUCUUCCGCCUCACCAUCGGAAGA
rnacentral:lncRNA from 1 species